rnacentral:rRNA from 2 species
UGCGGUGGUUUUGGCGAGAGGGAAACGCCCGUUCCCAUUCCGAACACGGAAGCUAAGCCUCUCAGCGCUGAUGAUACUGCAAGGGCAGCCUUGUGGGAAAGUAAGUCGCCGCCGCGA